rnacentral:rRNA from 1 species
GAUGAACGCUAGCGACAGGCUUAACACAUGCAAGUCGAGGGGCAGCAGGGGAGUAGCAAUACUCCCGCUGGCGACCGGCGCACGGGUGAGUAACACGUAUGCAACCUGCCCUUGUCAGGGGGAUAAGCGGAAGAAAUUCCGUCUAAUACCGCAUAAUGCUGCGGGGAGACAUCUCCCUGCAGCCAAAGAUUUAUCGGACAAGGAUGGGCAUGCGGCGCAUUAGCUUGUUGGCGGGGUAACGGCCCACCAAGGCGACGAUGCGUAGGGGUUCUGAGAGGAAGGUCCCCCACACUGGUACUGAGACACGGACCAGACUCCUGCGGGAGGCAGCAGUGAGGAAUAUUGGUCAAUGGCCGGGAGGCUGAACCAGCCAAGUCGCGUGAGGGAAGACGGUCCUAUGGAUUGUAAACCUCUUUUGUCAGGGAGCAAAAACUGCCACGUGUGGCAGGAUGAGAGUACCUGAAGAAAAAGCAUCGGCUAACUCCGUGCCAGCAGCCGCGGUAAUACGGAGGAUGCGAGCGUUAUCCGGAUUUAUUGGGUUUAAAGGGUGCGUAGGCGGACAGUUAAGUCAGCGGUAAAAUUGAGAGGCUCAACCUCUUCCCGCCGUUGAAACUGAUUGUCUUGAGUGGGCGAGAAGUAUGCGGAAUGCGUGGUGUAGCGGUGAAAUGCAUAGAUAUCACGCAGAACUCCGAUUGCGAAGGCAGCAUACCGGCGCCCAACUGACGCUGAAGCACGAAAGCGUGGGUAUCGAACAGGAUUAGAUACCCUGGUAGUCCACGCAGUAAACGAUGAAUACUAAUUGUUCGGGUCAAAUGAGAUCUGAGUGAUACAGCGAAAGCGUUAAGUAUUCCACCUGGGGAGUACGCCGGCAACGGUGAAACUCAAAGGAAUUGACGGGGGCCCGCACAAGCGGAGGAACAUGUGGUUUAAUUCGAUGAUACGCGAGGAACCUUACCCGGGCUCAAACGACACAGGAAUGAUCUGAGAAAUCAGGCAGUCCUCCGGGACCUGUGUCGAGGUGCUGCAUGGUUGUCGUCAGCUCGUGCCGUGAGGUGUCGGCUUAAGUGCCAUAACGAGCGUAACCCCCAUCGACAGUUGCCAGCAGGUCAAGCUGGGCACUCUGUCGAGACUGCCGGCGCAAGCUGUGAGGAAGGCGGGGAUGACGUCAAAUCAGCACGGCCCUUACGUCCGGGGCGACACACGUGUUACAAUGGCAGGUACAGCGGGAAGCCACCUGGCGACAGGGAGCGGAACCCGAAAGCCUGUCUCAGUUCGGAUUGGAGUCUGCAACUCGACUCCAUGAAGCUGGAUUCGCUAGUAAUCGCGCAUCAGCCACGGCGCGGUGAAUACGUUCCCGGGCCU